GUGAUGGCCGUUUUGCAGUGGGGUGCGUUUAGUGUGUGGAGAUGUCAUGAAUGAUUUGGGAGUGCCGAUGGAGUCAUAUUAGUUUUAUCAGGUAAAGCGAAUGAGUAGAGGCCGGGGGGGAGCGUUGCCCUCCACCUAGUCUCAAACGUUAAAUGGGUAAGAUCCAGUGGUUACUUCAUUGAACUGCUAGGAUUAAUAUGAACUCCAAGUGGGCCAUUUUCGGUAAGCAGAACUGGCGAUGAGGGAUGCUCCUAACGCUUGGUUAAGGUGCCUAAAUACUCGCUCAUCAGACACCAUAAAAGGUUUUGGUUCAUUUUGACAGCAGGACGGUGGUCAUGGAAGUAGAAAUCCGCUAAGAAGUGUGUAACAACUUACCUGCCGAAUGAACCAGCCCUGAAAAUGGAUGGCGCUGCAGCGGGUUACCGAUACCAGGCCAUUAUCGCAAGUCUUUGGACACUCGACGUUUCGCGGUAAUGAGUAGGAAGACGUGGGGAUCGUAGCGAAGCACUCGGCGUGAGCCUGUGCGGAACGGUCUCUAGUGCAGAUCUUGGUGGCAGUAGAAAAUAUUCAAAUGAGAACUUUGAAGACUGAAGUGGAGAAGGGUUUCAUGUGAACAGCAAUUGGACAUGGGUUAGCCGGUCCUAAGCGACAGCUUAACUGCGUGAAUUUCGUGGCUUUUUGCCCCGUAUUUCGCGAAAGGGAAUCAGGAUAAUAUUCCUGAGCCAGGACGUGGAUACUGUACGGUAACGUAAAUGAACUCCUCGACGCAGGCGGGUGCCCCGGGAAGCGUUGUCUUUGCUUCUUAACAACCUCUUUAAACAUACCCUGGAAUCAGAUUAUCUGGAGAUAAUCUGAUUCCAAACUCAUAGUAAGGCGUAUGCCUUCAACGUUAUUCCUCAGGUUCUCAGUGUACACAACAUAUAUGCUUUGGAACGCUGAGGCGCCUGGCAUCUCUGAACCCUACUCAUAGGCAAGCAAGGACGU
rfam:Eimeria mitis, Houghton, WGS project CBTT01000000 data, contig: Emh_contig2744_2